rnacentral:pre_miRNA from 1 species
CAUCUGACUUAACUCCUGCAAGGCUAAUCAAAACACAUCCUCGGGAGAGAAGUGAGAUGGC